rnacentral:rRNA from 1 species
CCCCCCUUACCGGGAGAGUUGCCACCGGAUCCCAUAAGAACUCCGGAGUUAAGCGUGCUCGGGUGGGAGCAGUCCCCGGAUGGGUGACCUCCCUGGGAAGUCCCUGGUACGUGUGC